UGGUAGAUGCACCCUGAUAACUCACUCCCUUAGCUGUUUAAUUACGGCUGAGGGUUUUUUUU
rnacentral:sRNA from 1 species